rnacentral:rRNA from 1 species
CUUGGUCAUUUAGAGGAAGUAAAAGUCGUAACAAGGUCCCCGUAGGUGAACCUGCGGAGGGAUCAUUACACAAAUAUGAAGGCGGGCUGGAACCUCUCGGGGUUACAGCCUUGCUGAAUUAUUCACCCUUGUCUUUUGCGUACUUCUUGUUUCCUUGGUGGGUUCGCCCACCACUAGGACAAACAUAAACCUUUUGUAAUUGCAAUCAGCGUCAGUAACAAAUUAAUAAUUACAACUUUCAACAACGGAUCUCUUGGUUCUGGCAUCGAUGAAGAACGCAGCGAAAUGCGAUAAGUAGUGUGAAUUGCAGAAUUCAGUGAAUCAUCGAAUCUUUGAACGCACAUUGCGCCCUUUGGUAUUCCAAAGGGCAUGCCUGUUCGAGCGUCAUUUGUACCCUCAAGCUUUGCUUGGUGUUGGGCGUCUUGUCUCUAGCUUUGCUGGAGACUCGCCUUAAAGUAAUUGGCAGCCGGCCUACUGGUUUCGGAGCGCAGCACAAGUCGCACUCUCUAUCAGCAAAGGUCUAGCAUCCAUUAAGCCUUUUUUUCAACUUUUGACCUCGGAUCAGGUAGGGAUACCCGCUGAACUUAAGCAUAUCAAUAAGCGGAGGA